rnacentral:lncRNA from 1 species
UUAUGUUAUUUAACCUUUAAAGAAAUGGAGGGAGUAACGUAUAGAACCAAACUAGAAAAAAUACGCGCAUAAUUAAGGACACGGAAUGUAGCAAGGCACAAUACCGUUGAGGCGUUGACACAGAAGCCAGGGGCCACAUCAGAUUGAAGUGUAAAUACUACGUAUCCUUAAACCAAUUAAAACAUAAUACGUUGCAUAUUUUACAUGAUUGUUGCUCAUCUUGAUCUUCAAUUUUUCUCAGCUCCAAUCUAAUGAAAGAUUCCUCACCAUUCUUCUUCUUUUUCUAACCUAAAAGCUAAAUCCCUCUUUUCCCCUAACAUCAUACAUCUACGGUUAAAAAUAGAAUGAUUUUCUUUUAAUUCGUUUUAAAAAGAAUAAUUUUAGUUUUUGUAAUAUUUUAAUUUAACUUUUCACAUCGUAUAUUUAGAAUCAUAAAAUUAAAAUGCAUUUUAUUAUAUUUGACACAAAUUUAAUUUAAUGCAUUCAAAUUUUUUAUUUUCUUAAAUUUUAUGUCAAGUUAGAAAUUAAAAUAGAUUUCUUUUUGAUAGAAGUAAUAAAUAAUAAUCUUGAAUCGGCUUCUUCUUCCUUUUUCCUUUCUGCUUGGAGACGAUAAUAAUUUUAGAUCCAGAGAAUGGGNNNNNN